rnacentral:rRNA from 1 species
GACGAACGCUGGCGGCGUGCUUAACACAUGCAAGUCGAACGGAAAGGCCCUGCUUUUGUGGGGUGCUCGAGUGGCGAACGGGUGAGUAACACGUGAGUAACCUGCCCUUGACUUUGGGAUAACUUCAGGAAACUGGGGCUAAUACCGGAUAGGAGCUCCUGCUGCAUGGUGGGGGUUGGAAAUUUUCGGCGGUUGGGGAUGGACUGGCGGCUUAUCAGCUUGUUGGUGGGGUAGGUGCUUACCAAGGCAUUGACGGGUAGCCGGCCUGAGAGGGUGACCGGGGACAUUGGGACUGAGGGACGGACCAGACGCCUACGUGAGGCAGUAGGGGGGAAUAUUGUACAAUGGGCGGAAGCCGGAUGCAGCAACCUCGGGUGUGGGAUGACGGCUUUUGGGUUGUAAACCGCUUUCGCCUGUGACGAAGCGGGAGUGACGGUAAUGGAUAAAGAAGCACCGGCUAACUACGUG